AGACUUUGCCCCAGUACAGUUGGUGGCGGUAAUUCACCACCUUAGAAAGCUGCUGCUCCAAAGAGUAGAAGAAGAAGAUGAUGAUGAUCAGCAUGUGGGGUAUCUACGUUGCAAUCUUCAUCAGUCGCAUCCUAAAUGAAUGAAUCGAGCUUUACAUCUCUUGUGGACAUUUAACGUUUAAACCGAGGAGAUGAAAUGAGACAAUAACCAAAAAUCAUCGUCAAAACAGCUGCCACCCGUACAGCAGACAAAAUGAGCAAGGACGCGCCUGCUGACCGUGGUUUUCUGGUCGCCAUCAUUUUCUUCAUCCUGGGAUUGGGAACGCUGCUGCCAUGGAACUUUUUCAUGACCGCCUCAAUGGUAAAAUAUGUGGGAAACAGGCCAAAGAAAUUAGAAAUAACAGCAGAGCAACACCAGUCGAACAAGAUUAACAGGGCAGAGUCUCACAAUGUGCUUAUACAAGCAGGCGUUAACAAUAUGACCAAAGAUUAUUUUAGUAGAUUCAAACUAAAGCUAAGACUAGAAGUAUUGAUGAAAUAAAUAAAAAUUGCAAUAAAUAUUCAAACUAAAUUAAACUACGAACAUUCAGGGG
rnacentral:lncRNA from 1 species